UCGUGACCUCUGUGUGGCGUCAAUGUUGGUAUGUCAUAGUCCCCUGUGACGCGUAGGCCCUAUCACAGCCAACCUUGAUGAGCCUUUCAGAGGUAUCUCUC
rnacentral:pre_miRNA from 1 species